rnacentral:rRNA from 1 species
AUUGAACGCUGGCGGCAUACCUUACACAUGCAAGUCGAACGGCAGCACGGGAGCAAUCCUGGUGGCGAGUGGCGAACGGGUGAGUAAUAUAUCGGAACGUGCCCAGUAGUGGGGGAUAACUGCUCGAAAGAGCAGCUAAUACCGCAUACGACCUGAGGGUGAAAGGGGGGGAUCGCAAGACCUCUCGCUAUUGGAGCGGCCGAUAUCAGAUUAGCUAGUUGGUGGGGUAAAGGCCUACCAAGGCAACGAUCUGUAGUUGGUCUGAGAGGACGACCAGCCACACUGGGACUGAGACACGGCCCAGACUCCGACGGGAGGCAGCAGUGGGGAAUUUUGGACAAUGGGCGCAAGCCUGAUCCAGCAAUGCCGCGUGCAGGAAGAAGGCCUUCGGGUUGUAAACUGCUUUUGUCAGGGAAGAAAUCCUCUAGGUUAAUACCCUUGGGGGAUGACGGUACCUGAAGAAUAAGCACCGGCUAACUACGUGCCAGCCGCCGCGGUAACAC